AUGAACGCUAGCGACAGGCUUAACACAUGCAAGUCGAGGGGUAACAGGGUGUAGCAAUACACCGCUGACGACCGGCGCACGGGUGAGUAACGCGUAUGCAACCUGCCUUUGACAGAGGGAUAGCCCAUGGAAACGUGGAUUAAUACCUCAUAGUCUCUUUUUUCUUCCUGGGAAAUAGAGUAAAACAUCAGUGGUCAAAGAUGGGCAUGCGUCCUAUUAGGCAGUUGGCGGGGUAACGGCCCACCAAACCGAUGAUAGGUAGGGGUUCUGAGAGGAAGGUCCCCCACACUGGUACUGAGACACGGACCAGACUCCUACGGGAGGCAGCAGUGAGGAAUAUUGGUCAAUGGUCGAUAGACUGAACCAGCCAAGUCGCGUGAGGGAUGACUGCCCUAUGGGUUGUAAACCUCUUUUCUACUGGGAGAAUAAGCCUUAUGUAUAGGGUGAUGACAGUACAGUAGGAAUAAGCAUCGGCUAACUCCGUGCCAGCAGCCGCGGUAAUACGGAGGAUGCGAGCGUUAUCCGGAUUUAUUGGGUUUAAAGGGUGCGUAGGCGGCUUUAUAAGUUAGUGGUAAAAUUUCGGAGCUUCACUCCGGUCCGCCAUUAAAACUGUAGAGCUAGAGAAUGGACGAGGUAGGCGGAAUAAGUUAAGUAGCGGUGAAAUGCAUAGAUAUAACUUAGAACUCCGAUAGCGAAGGCAGCUUACCAGACCAUAACUGACGCUGAUGCACGAGAGCGUGGGUAGCGAACAGGAUUAGAUACCCUGGUAGUCCACGCCGUAAACGAUGCUCACCGGCCCUUAGCGAUAAGACAGUUAGGGGUUAAUUGAAAGAAUUAAGUGAGCCACCUGGGGAGUACGUCGGCAACGAUGAAACUCAAAGGAAUUGACGGGGGCCCGCACAAGCGGUGGAUUAUGUGGUUUAAUUCGAAGCAACGCGAAGAACCUUACCAGGGUUUGACAUCCUGCUAACGAAGUAGAGAUACAUUAGGUGCCCUUCGGGGAAAGUAGAGACAGGUGGUGCAUGGUUGUCGUCAGCUCGUGCCGUGAGGUGUCGGGUUAAGUCCCAUAACGAGCGCAACCCUUACCGUUAGUUGCUAGCAUGUAAUGAUGAGCACUCUAGCGGGACUGCCACCGUAAGGUGAGAGGAAGGGGGGGAUGACGUCAAAUCAGCACGGCCCUUACAUCCAGGGCGACACACGUGUUACAAUGGCCAUAACAGCGGGUAGCUACCGGGUGACCGGAUGCAAAUCUCGAAAAUUGGUCUAAGUUCGGAUUGGAGUCUGCAACCCGACUCCAUGAAGUUGGAUUCGCUAGUAAUCGCGCAUCAGCCAUGGCGCGGUGAAUACGUUCCCGGGCCUUGUACACACCGCCCGUCAAGCCAUGGAAGCUGGGAGUACCUGAAGUCCGUAACCGCGAGGAUCGGCCUAGGGUAAUACCGGUAACUGGGGCU
rnacentral:rRNA from 1 species